rnacentral:rRNA from 1 species
GUACGGGGGAGCAGCGUUGUCGGAUUUACUGGGCGUAAAGGGCGCGUAGGCGGCCACCGCAAGUCGACUGUGAAAUCUCCGGGCUUAACCCGGAACGGUCAGCCGAUACUGCGGGGCUAGAGUGCAGAAGGGGCAACUGGAAUUCUCGGUGUAGCGGUGAAAUGCGUAGAUAUCGAGAGGAACACCUGCGGCGAAGGCGGGUUGCUGGGCUGACACUGACGCUGAUGUGCGAAAGCUAGGGGAGCGAACGGG